rnacentral:rRNA from 1 species
GGUUGAAGGUUGGGUAACACUAACUGGAGGACCGAACCGACUAAUGUUGAAAAAUUAGCGGAUGACCUGUGGCUGGGGGUGAAAGGCCAAUCAAACCGGGAGAUAGCUGGUUCUCCCCGAAAGCUAUUUAGGUAGCGCCUCGUGAAUUCAUCUCCGGGGGUAGAGCACUGUUUCGGCUAGGGGGCCAUCCCGGCUUACCAACCCGAUGCAAACUGCGAAUACCGGAGAAUGUUAUCACGGGAGACACACGGCGGGUGCUAACGUCCGUCGUGAAGAGGGAAACAACCCAGACCGCCAGCUAAGGUCCCAAAGUCAUGGUUAAGUGGGAAACGAUGUGGGAAGGCCCAGACAGCCAGGAUGUUGGCUUAGAAGCAGCCAUCAUUUAAAGAAAGCGUAAUAGCUCACUGGUCGAGUCGGCCUGCGCGGAAGAUGUAACGGGGCUAAACCAUGCACCGAAGCUGCGGCAGCGACACUGUGU